CUGUCACUGACCGCCGGACGGCGGCUUCAGCUGGCGGCUGAGGGGGGGCGGACCACCGGCCUCAUGUUGAUCCGCGAGGGACAGG
rnacentral:tRNA from 1 species